rnacentral:lncRNA from 1 species
CUCAAUUAUUCAAGAGUUUUGAAAUCGAUGAAACCCUCUUCGUGCACUUCUAACGAACUAUCAUUUAUGCAACCUUUGAAUCAUUUAUUGACAAUUUUUAGUCGGAUAUAUUUAGUAAUACAAGUUGACACAAUAAAUCUUUUGACAAUCUUACCCAUGAAUAAUGAAGUGCACUGAAAAACCUGAGACCCUUUCGGACCCA